rnacentral:lncRNA from 1 species
UAUAUAUCCAAUCCAAACGCAACUUGCUUGUCUAUUUGGCAUUUUAGACGCAGAGACUCACUAGACUUUGGCACGUUAUGGACGCAUUCGGUCUUUUGCAUCAAAAGGAAAUUAUUAGGCAUCUUAGCAACACGGACACGGGUGAAGGAACAAUACUAAAUUCAGAGAAUAUGGGCUGCUCCAUCUGAACCACUACCAUACCCUUGAUCUGCUGGAAAACUAGCCACCUAUAUAGCUAAUGCUGCAUUGCGUCAUGCAUGCCAUCGUCCUUAAUUCCUUUUCCAGCGUAGUAUUGAUUCCAAGCAUGGCCGCCGAUUCUCUCCUCUCUCUCUCUCUCUCUCUCUCUCUCUCUACGCUCUUGGUGCUUAUCAUAACCUGCAUGUUCUAGUGCCGUUUAGUUAGUAGGGGUAAUUAAGCUUGACUUUGACACUUUGAAAGGAUCGGAGAGAUAGGAAGGACUGCGUGCACACUCAAGGAUGCAUGUGAAGGGGAUCUUCACCAAGCUUUGCGCAUGCAAUGUCUAGUUCACGAUGAUGUCUGUUGUUUGAUCUAGUCCAUGUGAACAUGUACUCAUAGUUUGUAUUAAGCUUGGUCAAAAACAUACUCUAAGUUCGGGACAAGUCAACAUUCUUAAACUUGAUCAAGUUUAUAUAAAAUAAUAUAUAUAUAUAUAUAUAUAUAUAUAUAUAUAUAUUCUCAAAUAGGUUAACUAUAAAAAUAUAUUUCAUAAUUAAUAUGAUGAUACUUAUUUGGUAUUAUAAUAUUAGUAUAUUUUCCUAUAGUUUUGAUUAAUCUUGUACAUCUUCUUGAGAAGUGAGAAUUACAUUAUUUUUAGGACGGAAGGUGUAGUUUCGAUGUAAAUGCUAUGUAUUAGCUAAAAUCAUUUGAAUGUAAUAUUGCACGUGAUAGACAAGAUAUCAUAAGACACUAUCACGAACAUGCAAAGGCUUGGCAUUUAACUUCUGCUUAGAAAUUCAUGGUCCGCUUUAACUUCCAAAUGAGCGACUUAUUAAUUAAUUUCAAUAUAUGUGACAGCUAGUUUUUCAUCUCAGCGUUAUAUUGAAUAUAUAAUAUCGACCGAAGGUCAAGUUCAAACAUGCUUGUGUUGAAAGCCGGUAUGUACAUGCCGUUUAGCAGCUCUAGCAAAAGUUAGGGAUGGGGAUUAUAUGUUCCUGCAGGUUGGUAGGGUUUAGAUUUGACUUAAGUCCCCAAUUUUUCAUAUUAUAUUGUGUCUCCUAAAUUUGGUCAGGUUUGAAGGCUGCAGGCCUUUAUUAGCUAGGUUUGGCAGAAGGAGCACGUGCUACAAGCCGUACUAAUAAUUCUCUUUGUUCAAAAAGAAAAAUAAAAAGAAAAAAAUUAAAAAGAAAAGAAAAGAUGAGUUUCAUUAUCGAGGAAACGUCCUAUAUAUAUACUGCACAUGAUGCUUCGAGAAGCCAAAUAUAUAGCUAGCUAGUCGAACUCCGGCCGAUCAUAUCGUUAGUGUGCUCCGAUCCCAAGUAUAUAUUUUUUUGCCGUCGACUAGUUCAAAUUUUUGUCGAGCUACUAAUUUUUAUAAGAGUAACCGAGCGAGUGAAAGACAAGCUUUACCGAAGCAUGUGAAGAAUCCCAAUAAUUACUGGGGCACUGGCCUGCAUUUGGCUUGUGUGUAUGUUUUACUCUUAUCCUAUACAUAUAGGUAAGUAGUUACAUAUCUAGGUAGUGGUGGUCGGAAUUAAUUAAAAAUAAAGUGAUGAAUAUAUAGCUAAUAUAAAUAAGCUAAGCUAACACUAUAAGCAAAAAUUAUGGUAAUAGCGUACUAGUAGUAUUUUAUGGGUGAGCGAGUGAGAGAUAAGUUACAGAUGCAAGCUGCUCAGGGCACUCCCAAUAUUAAAAACUACAAGUAAUUUCUAUACAUAUUAAUUUUUAUAGACACUAUGUAUAGAAACUAAGGCCAGUGUCAGUGGUGAGUUUCAUAGCGUUGUUUCCAAGACUGCCAUGUCAUGUGAAAUGAAAUGAAACUUGGAUGAAACACCUACUCUCAAUAGAGAGUUUCAUAUUAUAGUUUCAUAGGCAUUUAAUUUCAAGACUCAUAGAGAGUUGGUAAUCGUGCCAAGAGAGUUUCAUCUAGGGCCUUGUUUAGUUCACACUGAAAACUACAAAGUUUUCAAGAUUCCCCGUCACAUCGAAUCUUGUGGCACAUGCAUGAAACAUUAAAUAUAGACGAAAACAAAAACUAAUUACACAGUUUAGCUAUAAAUCACGAGACGAAUCUUUUGAUCCUAGUUAGUCCAUAAUUAGAUAAUAUUUAUCACAAACAAACGAAAGUGCUACAGUACCAAAACUUUUCACUUUUUAGAACUAAACAAGGCCUAGAUGAAACUCAUUUCUUCUCUCUCUUCUUAAAUACACUGCUGUCAUCAAAAAAGUCUAUGUGGCAACCUAUUUACUACAAAUGAAACUCAUAUGAAACUCCCAUUGAAACUGGCCUAAGGCACCAAUGGAUAGUUUCUAUACAACAAUUUUUUAUCAAAUCACGUUCAUUCUCUCUCCAUUCUCAACCAAUUAUAUCACUUUAUGUCUUAGAUCUUGUGUAGACAUGGUUUCUAACUUAGGGCACUCACAAUGCAAGACUCUAUUAUAGAGUCCAAGACAAUUAAUUACAUAUUAUUUAUGGUAUUUCACUAAUAUGGCAGCAUAUUUAUUGAAGAAAGAGGUAGAAAAAAUAAGACUCCA